AGAACAAGCUACCUGCAGUCCUGGGAAAGCAAUUUGACAGUAUCAGUCUUCAAAAACCCAUGUUGACGAGGGAUAGCCUCCUGUCUGUCUGUUAAGAAGGAACGAUGUAAGAGAGGUCAUAGGCAGUGGCACAGGGGAAAACACAAAGACAGAGGGAAGAGAUGAAUGAGGCCGAAAGAUCAAGGUAGAGAGCAAGGAGAAAGCAGCGUAUGACCCUGUUCAUGCAGCCAGGGCUUGACCCAAUUAUUGACCAUCCACAGGACAGGAUACUCAGAGGAUGCUAACUGGCUGCAGCACUGCCAAAACCAGCACGCCCUCGCUGCACUCACACAUUUAAGGCCAUGGCUGGACUAUGAAAGAGACAGAUGGGCCUGCAGUCAGAGAGGGGGUGAAGGGUGGGCAUCAUCAGCGGAGACAAAGUGGGUUUACAAGAGGUUACAAAUAAAACAAGCUGAGGACAUGAA